rnacentral:lncRNA from 1 species
CCUUACUCCGGGCCCCGGGCGCCCGCUCCGCGCCGCGUCUGCGAACCGGUGACCUGGUUUCCCCUCCAGCCCUCCCGGCGGUCCGACUCGCGCGGCGGCGGCGGUGGCGGCGGCGGCAGCCAAGAGCAGGCAAACCCGGCUCCGCCAGGGGCGCAGCGAGGAAAUGGCCUCCCGGCCGCACGCCCCGCCGCCGCCGCCGCCGCUGCCGACCGGGGCCGCCUGGCUGGCACCCGACGCCCCCCGCCCGGCUCGGGGCCAGCGCUGUGAAGUGUCCGCCAGUCCCGGCUCGCGGACCACUACCCGGCGGGCUGCACACACGCCGCCCGGGGCUGGCCGCCUCCGCACCUGCCGCCCCAGCUUCUUGUGAGCAUCUCACGGAAAGGGGCGAGAAGCCACCACCCCUGCUGACAGCAUUAACAACCACAACUGUCAAGAAGCCUAGAAUUGUUCCCGGCGCCUGGAUGCAGUGUUUCAGCGCGCUUCAAGAGGAAAAAUCGCAGACCUCGCGGCCCCCUGGGAAGUUCCCGGGCUUUGCUCCAAAGCUGCCCCGGGAUGUUUUGGUUGGUUUGGAGGAAAGCUGGGGAGUCUGCACCAUUUAUUCCAAACAGGCGGCCCCCUGGUGGCUAACUGUGGGUGAAAAAGCUGGCCACGGAGGAAAAAGCCCGGCUCUGAAAGGCCACAACAGUUGACAGCCGGCUCUUCGCAGGGACCACGGAGCUGCGUGAACAAUUUUGUAACAAAGAGAGAGGGUGCUGUCAAUCUUCCUUCACAAAGGUGGAUAAAGAGCCCUAAAGCUUGCUGGAACUUUUCCUUUUUUCUCUUCUUGAGUAUAACUUGGAGCUAAAUUCCUCCUUGAGAAGGAAACAUCAUACAGAGAAUGAAUUACGUACAACAAAAACUGUUGCUUCCCUUUGUUCAAAUGGCUUUGUUUUUCUGCUCUCAUUUUGCCUGGAAACUUGUGAAAUAAAGAGUAAAUUAAAGCAUUAAAUAAAUAACGUGACAUUAUGCAAACAAUUCAUGAAACUGUGAUUGUAAUAAUGUUAUAUGACAAUGGGGGAGGGCAAUUUUAAUGCAACCUUAUUGAAACAGCAUGAACUACUAGGAUUCCCUUUGAACCGACCCUCUGAAGGCAGUCUUACAGGCUGCAUGGUGAUAAAGAAGGGUUACCAACAGAAGAUGGCAUUUAUUUUUCUGAUUUUACACAAGAGGGG